UGGUGGGUUGCCUUGUCAGGUUGAUUCCGGUAACGAACGAGACCUCAGCCUGCUAAAUAGUCAACAUCACAACUGUGGUGUGCAGACUUCUUAGAGGGACUAUUGGCGUUUAGCCAAUGGAAGUAUGAGGCGAUAACA
rnacentral:rRNA from 1 species